UCCUCGGUAGUAUAGUGGCCAAGUAUCCUCGCAUAUCACGCAGGUGACCGGGGUUCGAUUCUUCGCCGGGGAU
rnacentral:tRNA from 1 species